rnacentral:rRNA from 1 species
UACGUAGGGUGCAGGCGUUAAUCGGAAUUACUGGGCGUAAAGCGUGCGCAGGCGGUUUCUUAAGUCAGAUGUGAAAGCCCCGGGCUCAACCUGGGAAUGGCGAUGGAUACUGGCGCGCUAGAGUGCGGUAGAGGAGAGUGGAAUUCCCGGUGUAGCAGUGAAAUGCGUAGAGAUCGGGAGGAACAUCAGUUGCGAAGGCGGCUCUCUGGACCAACACUGACACUGAGGCACGAAAGCGUGGGGAGCAAACAGG